GAAGACCUGGAGGAACAUUGUCCAAGGGGUCACGGUGGGUCGGACAGAACUUUGCAACAACAACAAUAACAACAAAUCAGUUAAAUGGACAAGAGAAAGAACACAACCAGCCUGGUCAAAAGACAAAGAUAAGAUAAAAGGCAGCAAAAGCUUCUGAGAUGGUCCAUGGGAAUCAAAGAUGUUUCAGAGAGCUAGAAGACUUUCCAGAAACACAUAAAAGGUGAUACUGGAGAAGGAGAAAUGAAUUAAUACAGUCACCUCUGCAUUAUCCUGUUUCAUUUUUCUACAACAAAAGAAGCAAUUGGUUUGUAUAAAGGUAAAGGUUCCCCUCGCACAUAUGUGCUAGUCAUUCCCAACUCUAGGGGGUGGUGCUCAUCUCUGUUUCAAGCCGAAGAACCAGUGCUGUCCGAAGACAUCUCUGUGGUCAUGUGACCGGAAUGACUAAACGCUGAAUGGAACAUUGUUCCACAUGGAACGCUGUUACCUUCCCACCAAAGGUAAUU